rnacentral:rRNA from 1 species
UGAACUGGGUGACUAGAGUGUGUCAGAGGGAGGUAGAAUUCCACGUGUAGCAGUGAAAUGCGUAGAGAUGUGGAGGAAUNCCGAUGGCGAAGGCAGCCUCCUGGGAUAACACUGACGUUCAUGCCCGAAAGCGUGGGUAGCAAACAGGAUUAGAUACCCUGGUAGUNCACGCCCUAAACGAUGUCGAUUAGCUGUUGGGCAGCAUGACUGCUUAGUAGCGAAGCUAACGCGUGAAAUCGACCGCCUGGGGAGUACGGUCGCAAGAUUAAAACUCAAAGGAAUUGACGGGGACCCGCACAAGCGGUGGAUGAUGUGGAUUAAUUCGAUGCAACGCGAAGAACCUUACCUGGUCUUGACAUGUACGGAACCCUCCAGAGACGGAGGGGUGCCUUCGGGAGCCGUAACACAGGUGCUGCAUGGCUGUCGUCAGCUCGUGUCGUGAGAUGUUGGGUUAAGUCCCGCAACGAGCGCAACCCUUGUCAUUAGUUGCCAUCAUUAAGUUGGGCACUCUAAUGAGACUGCCGGUGACAAGCCGGAGGAAGGUGGGGAUGACGUCAAGUCCUCAUGGCCCUUAUGACCAGGGCUUCACACGUCAUACAAUGGUCGGUACAGAGGGUAGCCAAGCCGCGAGGUGGAGCCAAUCUCACAAAACCGAUCGUAGUCCGGAUUGCACUCUGCAACUCGAGUGCAUGAAGUCGGAAUCGCUAGUAAUCGCAGGUCAGCAUACUGCGGUGAAUACGUUCCCGGGUCUUGUACACACCGCCCGUCACACCAUGGGAGUGGGGGAUACCAGAAGUAGGUA